ACCUUGUUCUAACCUGAUUCACAACAAACCAGUGAAUGAAAGUGAUGAAACACCAUGUUAUUCAACAGAAAUUAUAACCCUUGGUGACAGGUUUGAGGAAGAGUGGACCUGCUUAAAUGUGAUAAGAUUGGUACCAAACGCCUCACAAGAAGGUGCCCGAGAACAGAAAAACUGUACACGCUACCCCUUCACUCUUUUUAUCUGUGUUUCCAUCAUAUCUUUUCAGUCCAAAAUCCCUGAAGACCUGCUCCCCUUAUCGGCCGAAAUGUCAAUAACGGAGUAUUGCCAAACAUGCACAGCAUGAAGAGGAAAACUGGAGCUAUGUUCACCUACAUCCAACUUCUGAGUUUGCUUUGCAUUCAGUAUGCAGUUUCAGCACAAAUUCAGGUAGACAUUCCGGACUUGAACACUGGACCGGGGGAAGAGGUAAGUUGUCUCUGACUUUAAGGUCUGUGUUAACAACAGAGUUUGACAUUGACUUCUUUUGCUCACUGAUCACUCUCACUGAUCACUGGGGUUGGUGGUUCAGCCUUUCUACUAGCCACAGUUCUGUUAUCACUUCUCUAUUUCUUUACCUGCAUCUGAGCUGAAGUAAGAUGAAGCGGUGAGAAAAAAAACAUGAAAACAGGAACUGGGAUGAGAAAGGAGCUUCUUCUUCAAUUUAAAUACAAACAACUAAUUAAUGCAGGCAACAGAGGACAGGCCACGGUCUGUGACAUACCCAAGAAUAGCCCCGUUUGGCCUGUAUGUGGCCAACAUGUGACUGGUUGUCAGGUGCCAAUGUCAGACCCUGAUUAAAAACUUAUGUGUGCCACUGAAGGGCUUAAAUGCAGAUAGCCUACCAAAUUUUACAUAAAGGCCAUAUAGAGUAAAACGCUACAGUAGGCCUAUAUGCUUAUUAAAAUAUUGUUGCACUGCAUUAGUUUUUUAUUACUGUAUUCCUACAAAUAUGUCAGAAAUUGAAACAUAUUUCAGUCCAUUCACAUCAGUCCUGCCUAUACUUUCAAAGAUGUUGCAGUUGGUUGUGAGAGUCAUGCAUGAUUUUAUAAAGAAAUUAAAAAGGGAAACAAGAUGUAGCGUUUGUUUAAAAAAAAAAAACAUUUACAGCAAUGGUGGCCUUCAUAGGGGAAGUAAAUGUGUUUUUCAUAAACAACUCUCAACUUAGACGCAUGUCUUCACCACCACUCUGGGUGAGGAGGAGCAGGAGAUAUUUCAGUUCCCUCUUCUGAACAAACAAACUUCUCACUUCAUUUAUAAUUUUUAACAUAU